UACGAAGGGGGCUAGCGUUGUUCGGAAUUACUGGGCGUAAAGCGCGCGCAGGCGGUUCUUCAAGUCAGAGGUGAAAGCCCAGAGCUCAACUCUGGAAUGGCCUUUGAGACUAGAGAACUAGGGUACGGGAGAGGUGAGUGGAAUUCCGAGCGUAGAGGUGAAAUUCGUAGAUAUUCGCAAGAACACCAGUGGCGAAGGCGGCUCACUGGCCCGGUACUGACGCUGAGACGCGAAAGCGUGGGGAGCGAACAGG
rnacentral:rRNA from 1 species